AGCAGCCGCGGUAAUUCCAGCUCCAAUAGCGUAUAUUAAAGUUGUUGCAGUUAAAAAGCUCGUAGUUGAAUUUCGGGAUUGGCGCAUCGGUCGUGCCUCACGGGGUAUGAACUGGUGCAGUCAAUUUCUCACCUUCUGGAGAACCGCGAUGUCCUUAAUUGGAUGCCGCGGGGAACCAGGACCUUUACUUUGAAAAAAUUAGAGUGUUUAAAGCAGGCAUUUUUGCUUGAAUACAUUAGCAUGGAAUAAUAAAAUAGGACGGCAUGGUUCUAUUUUGUUGGUUUCUAGGACCACCGUAAUGAUUAAUAGGGAUAGUUGGGGGCAUUAGUAUUCAAUUGUCAGAGGUGAAAUUCUUGGAUUUAUUGAAGACUAACUACUGCGAAAGCAUUUGCCAAGGAUGUUUUCAUUAAUCAAGAACGAAAGUUAGGGGAUCGAAGACGAUCAGAUACCGUCGUAGUCUUAACCAUAAACUAUGCCGACUAGGAAUCAGACGAUGUUAAUUUUUUAAUGACUCGUUUGGCACC
rnacentral:rRNA from 1 species